rnacentral:rRNA from 1 species
AGCGAACGCUGGCGGCAGGCUUAACACAUGCAAGUCGAGCGGGCAUAGCAAUAUGUCAGCGGCAGACGGGUGAGUAACGCGUGGGAACGUACCUUUUGGUUCGGAACAACUGAGGGAAACUUCAGCUAAUACCGGAUAAGCCCUUACGGGGAAAGAUUUAUCGCCGAAAGAUCGGCCCGCGUCUGAUUAGCUAGUUGGUGAGGUAAUGGCUCACCAAGGCGACGAUCAGUAGCUGGUCUGAGAGGAUGAUCAGCCACAUUGGGACUGAGACACGGCCCAAACUCCUACGGGAGGCAGCAGUGGGUGAUAUUGGACAAUGGGCGCAAGCCUGAUCCAGCCAUGCCGCGUGAGUGAUGAAGGCCCUAGAGUUGUAAAGCUCUUUUGUGCGGGAAGAUAAUGACGGUACCGAAAGAAUAAGCCCCGGCUAACUUCGUG